AUAUUGGACAAUGGGUGCAACCCUGAUCCAGCCAUGCCGCGUGUGUGAAGAAUGUCUNNNGAUUGNAAAGUACUUUAAGUUGGNAGANAGGGCUUUAGGUUAAUACCCUGAAGUUUUUAUGUUACCAACAGAAUAAGCACCGGAUAACCAUGUGCCAGCAGCCGCUGUAAUACAGAGGGUGCAACCGUUAAUCGGAAUUACUGGGCGUAAAGCUCGCGUAGGUGGUUCAGUAAGAUGGGUGUGAAAUCCCCGGGCUUAAACUGGGAACUGCUUUCAUAACUGCUGAGCUAGAGUACGUUAGAGGGUAGUGGAAUUUCCUGUAUAGCGGUGAAAUGCGUAGAUAUAGGAAGGAACACCAGUGGAGAAGGCGACUACCUGGACUGAUACUGACACUGAGGUGCGAAAGCGUGGGGAGCAAACA
rnacentral:rRNA from 1 species